AAGGCUUUAGCUUAAUAAAAGUGUCUGAGUUGCAUUCAGGUGAUGUGGGAUAAAAUCCUGCAAGUCUUA
rnacentral:tRNA from 5 species